rnacentral:lncRNA from 1 species
UUGUUGAAGGAGAACGGCCAAUGAAGUAUGCCGAGAUUAUUUCAGCCGAUGAAUGGGAUAACUUUGUCGCCAAACGAAGAAACGAAAAAUUCCAUGUAAUGUCUAUUAAUUAUGGUAUUAUACAAUUGUUAAGUUACUUGGUUCUAAUAUGCCUUAAACUUUUUUAUCCAGGAAGUAAGCGACAAAAAUAGGAAAAGGGCAUCAAAACCCGCGUAUCCGUACAAAAAAGGGCGUACGGGUUAUGCACGGUUACAACAAAGAAUUGUGAGUAUA